rnacentral:rRNA from 1 species
UCCUCCCUCUGGCGGCGUGCUUAACACAUGCAAGUCGAACGGAAAGGCCCUGCUUUUGUGGGGUGCUCGAGUGGCGAACGGGUGAGUAACACGUGAGUAACCUGCCCUUGACUUUGGGAUAACUUCAGGAAACUGGGGCUAAUACCGGAUAGGAGCUCCUGCUGCAUGGUGGGGGUUGGAAAGUUUCGGCGGUUGGGGAUGGACUCGCGGCUUAUCAGCUUGUUGGUGGGGUAGUGGCUUACCAAGGCUUUGACGGGUAGCCGGCCUGAGAGGGUGACCGGCCACAUUGGGACUGAGAUACGGCCCAGACUCCUACGGGAGGCAGCAGUGGGGAAUAUUGCACAAUGGGCGGAAGCCUGAUGCAGAAACGCCGCGUGCGGGAUGACGGCCUUCGGGUUGUAAACCGCUUUCGCAUGUGACGAAGCGUGAGUGACGGUAAUGGGUAAAGAAGCACCGGCUAACUACGUG